rnacentral:rRNA from 1 species
CACGUAGGGCGCGAGCGUUGUCCGGAAUUAUUGGGCGUAAAGGGCGCGUAGGCGGCGUGACAAGUCACUUGUGAAAUCUCCGGGCUUAACUCGGAACGGCCAAGUGAUACUGUCGUGCUAGAGUGCAGAAGGGGCAAUCGGAAUUCUUGGUGUAGCGGUGAAAUGCGUAGAUAUCAAGAGGAACACCUGAGGUGAAGACGGGUUGCUGGGCUGACACUGACGCUGAGGCGCGAAAGCUAGGGGAGCAAACGGG